GUUUCUGUAGUGUAGUGGUUAUCACGUUUGCUUAACACGCAAAAGGUCCCUGGUUCAAAACAGGCAGAAACA